UGGGGAAUUUUUGGACAAUGGGCGAAAGCCUGAUCCAGCAAUGCCGCGUGUGUGAAGAAGGCCUUCGGGUUGUAAAGCACUUUUGUCCGGAAAGAAAUCCUUGGCUCUAAUACAGUCGGGGGAUGACGGUACCGGAAGAAUAAGCACCGGCUAACUGCGUGCCAGCAGCCGCGGUAAUACGUAGGGUGCAAGCGUUAAUCGGAAUUACUGGGCGUAAAGCGUGCGCAGGCGGUUUGCUAAGACCGAUGUGAAAUCCCCGGGCUCAACCUGGGAACUGCAUUGGUGACUGGCAGGCUAGAGUAUGGCAGAGGGGGGUAGAAUUCCACGUGUAGCAGUGAAAUGCGUAGAGAUGUGGAGGAAUACCGAUGGCGAAGGCAGCCCCCUGGGCCAAUACUGACGCUCAUGCACGAAAGCGUGGGGAGCAAACAGGAUUAGAUACCCUGGUAGUCCACGCCCUAAAACGAUGUCAACUAGUUGUUGGGGAUUCAUUUCCUUAGUAACGUAGCUAACGCGUGAAGUUGACCGCCUGGGGAGUACGGUCGCAAGAUUAAAACUCAAAUGAAUUGACGGGGUCAUA
rnacentral:rRNA from 1 species